rnacentral:rRNA from 1 species
GCCAUGCGAGUCAACAUAGCAAUAUGUGGCAUACGGCUCAGUAACACGUAGUCAACAUGCCCAGGGGACGUGGAUAACCUCGGGAAACUGAGGAUAAACCGCGAUAGGUCAUCACUUCUGGAAUGGGUAAUGACUUAAAUCUACAUGGCCCCUGGAUUGGACUGCGGCCGAUCAGGCUGUUGGUGAGGUAAUGGCCCACCAAACCUGUAACCGGUACGGGCUCUGAGAGGAGGAGCCCGGAGAUGGGCACUGAGACAAGGGCCCAGGCCCUAUGGGGCGCAGCAGGCGCGAAACCUCUGCAAUAGGCGAAAGCUUGACAGGGUUACUCUGAGUGAUUUCCGUUAAGGAGAUCUUUUGGCACCUCUAAAAAUGGUGCAGAAUAAGGGGUGGGCAAGUCUGGUGUCAGCCGCCGCGGUAAUACCAGCACCCCGAGUGGUCGGGACGUUUAUUGGGCCUAAAGCAUCCGUAGCCGGUUCUACAAGUCUUCCGUUAAAUCCACCUGCUUAACAGAUGGGCUGCGGAAGAUACUAUAGAGCUAGGAGGCGGGAGAGGCAAGCGGUACUCGAUGGGUAGGGGUAAAAUCCGUUGAUCCAUUGAAGACCACCAGUGGCGAAGGCGGCUUGCCAGAACGCGCUCGACGGUGAGGGAUGAAAGCUGGGGGAGCAAACCGGAUUAGAUACCCGGGUAGUCCCAGCUGUAAACGAUGCAGACUCGGUGAUGAGUUGGCUUAUUGCUAACUCAGUGCCGCAGGAAAGCCGUUAAGUUUGCCGCCUGGGGAGUACGGUCGCAAGACUGAAACUUAA